UAAAGCUUAGAAAAACAAUUGUUCCUAAAAAUACAUUUAGAAAUACAAUUGAUUCAAAAUUAUGUUUUUAAAUAUCAUUUAUUUUACACUGUAUAAGAUAAAUAUAGUUGUGUGCAAUAUGUCCACUGAAAAGAAGCUAAUUUGACCUUUCAACUCAGCAGUGCUGUUGAGUCAAGAAUAAUCUCAUACAUUUAUAAAAAGUUAUUCCUCACAUAUAGAACAUUUGGCAAACAAUCCUAAUUACUUUGAACACAUCUUUAAACAAAAUGACCCAAAUACUUGUUUUACUUAAUUACUGUAGUGUUUAUUGGAGUGUUCAGUUUGAACAAGUUUUAGGUAACGCUGCUAUCAAUCUUAUCCUAAUAGAACAUUUCAAGCAUAAAACAAAAAUAAUAAUAUAGGUACACAUGCUCACUAGCAUGUGAACACAACAUAAUACAUUGAUAUAUUUAUAUAUUCUAUAUAAAAUAAAAUGAGUCUUAUAUAGUGCAAAUGAAGUCAGGUCCAAUAGUAUAUAUAAUAUAUGUAUGAUUAGCAACAAUACACAAAUGACCUCAAAACAUCAUAGAUAUGAAUCCAUCAUUGGAAUAUUUUCAUUUCUAUCCAGUUAGUGUGUGAACAUCUUUUUCAGACACAAAAAAACUACUAAAUGCACGACAAGAAUGUUGCACAAGACGUCUUCAUGUAGUUGUAUUUCUUGUCAUGGUCUGUUUUGUUGUUAUUUAGCAAUUCAUGUAAAGUACCGUGUGCGGCUUAAGAAGAAUAUUCUCUUUGAACACUUGCACAAACUACACGUUCCAGUUAUAAUCUACUAUUUACAACAUCCAAUUGAUCACUUAACCUGGUGUCAGUUUGUCAUAUAAUGCCUUCAUUUCUUUUUAAAGCACACCAAUAGUGUGAUAAACACAUUGAAUAAGGCACACACACACACACACACACACGACAAAACACGAUAAAGUGAUAAGAGUGUAGGAUCACUUUUAAAACUGUACAAAAAUAAAUAAUAAUUUGCGUAGUAAUCUUGCACAGGCAGAGGCACCACUGUGAACAAAUAAGUGCUAAUAACAUUUUAUAAAAGAAAGUGAAAAAUAAUGGAUGUAUACUAGGUUCGUAUAUUAAAGAAACAUUUUCACUCAUGCUAAAAGGAGUUCCUCAAGUGUUCCAUCAACUUGUUUUCUCCUGUUUUAAUAUUUUAUAAACAUUUUCAGAAUAAUUUUCAUCUGGUUGUAUUUUUUCAUAAUGCAUGCUUUGGACUUGAAAUUCAGUGCUUCUCAUGGCAAUAAAGUAAGAGAGUGAAACGUUAUCAACAAGCUUACUUAUGUAUCUUGCUGCAAUGUGACCAUCUUGUCUUCUUUGUGUAUGUAUUGUUGUGCAUCUUGCAUAACCGGCACACUCGUGAGACUGUCAUGUUAUAAAAAGAAGAAAAAAAAGCUAUGCGUCUGUUACGCAUACGUUUAGUUCACUUUAACGGGAAUGUUUUUGUACCUUUUGAGCCAGCACAACAAACUUUAGCUUCUGUGAUGUAAGUGUUGCUUGUAACAAAGGAACAGUUGAGUUUCAGGACAGGACAGACACAGAGACAGACUCACAUUCAGUCUUUGGAAUGUUGGUGAACUCCAUCAGAGGCUGCUGUCCAGACUGGAUGACUCUAUGUCCAACUUCCUGUGUCGUGGUGAGGUGGACACCGCCAGUUUGGUUGGUGAUGGCGAAGCGUUAGUCGAGGAGUCGCUGCCUCCACCUUCAGAGCCAGAGGAUGGAAGGGGCACCGGUGGCGCCCUCUUCCUCCCUAGAAAGCCAACAUCCAGCACUCCCCUCUUUUUCACACUUCCCUCCGCCUUGAUCCCAUCUCCCAGAACGUCACCCUCCUCAGACUGCAGUUGCACCUUACGCCUGGCAUCACCUGCUCCUGAAAUGGGGCUAUCAGGGGGUUGCCGUGGAGAUUCCUGACUCCCGCCAUCUCCCUUGGUCCUGACGGAAGUGGUCGAAGCUCCGAUGUUGGCAUUGGCACUGCGGCAGCUCCAGAACUCCAUGGCCGACAGCCGCCUCUCGCUCUCCUCAGGCCCAAAGUCACAGAGUGAGCGGCGGGUGUCGGUGGUCUGAUCGGUACUGUUUUGGACACCUCGACUGAAGCUGAAGUUCUGGAAGUCUCUGGAGAAAGAAGGAGGUAAUGUCUGAGUGCAUUCAAUCGAUCGCAAAUGGACUGUUCAGGUUGUUUUAGAAGACGAUUUGCCUCUAAUCCCAGCAGGCUUGAUCAGUUUGUGCUCGCAGAUUUAAGGCUGAAAUAUGCUCUUGCAUAGCUUGCAUGCACUCUAACGGGGUGUAAUUCGUUUAGAGCUCUUCCUAAAUGAGCACCAACAACUCUUGUUGACUUGCUAUUAGCUUUCUGUGUGAAGUAGUUGGGAGUAAACAACGGCGACUGUAGCGACAUCCACGAGGUUGAGCUGAAACUAAUCAAUUUGAAACAAGGGUCACUUUUAUUGUACAUUUUGCUCUAAAACUGGAGAAGACAUUGGCGAAGGUGGGCUGUGUGAGCCCCUAACGAGUCGAGGUGAAACAAUGGACGGACGAGAAGGAAUCCUCGUAAAUGAUGUGAUAAAAAGUGAAGCAAGACUUUUUUGGCUUGCUGGAUGGGGAGGAGCCAAUCCAGCAAGCCAAUCAGUCAAUCACAAAAGCUAUGUGAUGUGAGAGCAGACUUAAGCCUUUAGAAAGGACAGCUUUAGUCUGAGAGGAUGGUGCAAGAUGAGAUGUUAAGAUAACGGUCAUGUUGAACCACAAUAGAACAAAAACCUUCUUCAGAUCCUGCACUAUCCUCUCAGUCUAGACCUGUCCUAUCUAAGUCCGAGCAUGAACUGGUUGGUGAACCCUACUCAGAGGAGAGGCAAACGUCUUCAAAGACAUUCCAGUUGUAAGAAUAUUCACAAUAAGAUUUUAAGAUAACUUAACAACUGUGGUUUUGAACCAUAAUAGGGUAGUUUUGCAAAUGUUUGAUAACAGUUGCAUUCAAUUAGUCACACUUUCUAAAUUGUAGAGUAGACUUCCAUUCAUCCCACUAUGGGGAAUUUCCACAGUUCAGUUGCAGUGCAGAUUUUACACACAGCAAAGUGUAAAACGUAAUAAAAACUAUGACAAAAUGUAAUACAUUUUUAAAAAUGACUAGAUAAUUAAUGUCUGUUGUAAUAUCCAUAUAAACUAUUCAGAUUGAUUAUAUUACUUAAAUUUGUUUUUGUCAGCAAGUUUAUACUCUAAAAAUGUAUUUUACUAAAUUGGAGUUCAAUCAAUUCAAGUAUAUCCUCCCCUUUAAUGAAUGCCAACCUAUAUUUAUCACGGACUACGUCAUUCGUUUGAAUCAAACGCCCCAUCGCAAAUAAACCUAUUUUUCUUUGGAUGGGAUAGGUUCCAGCCACCCUUGCUACUCGGAGAGGGACAAGCAGUAGAAGAUGAUGUAUGUAUUGAAGAAACAAAACAUUUAAAUAAGAUGAAACAAAAGUUUCUCACCGGUUGCUGUGGAAGGACUCUGUUCGUCUAGCGCGGGCCAGCAGGGGGCUCUCUCUGUAGGGCCGCACAGCCCCGUAGGUGGCCUGGUUGUCUGGGACGACUUCCUGGGUCUGCAACUGCAGACUGGAGGACACACAAGAUGGUUGAUCUACAACGGAGGCUAUUUGUGCUCUCCUACCUUGAGCAAGAUUCUCUGAGGUGUGGAUGGUGCAGCACAGAAGGGGCGGGGCUAAUAUUAGGUGUGGCACAACGGGAGGUGCUUAGAUCACACUGGUCCAACAGCUGCAACAGUUCUUCUUCUGUGGGUCCACCAACAUCUAAACAACACGGGCAGCUUGAGAACACGCAGAGUGCAUGAACUAUUAUAUGAUAGUCACUUAUCCAUCUUUCACCUUCUUUCUUCUUCUCCUCUCCUUUAUUGGCAGUGUCCAUUGCGGUGGUCAGGUCCCACAGCUGGAUGCUACCAUUGCUGUGGCCAGUAAACAGAUAGCGACGUGGUCUGGAUCCCAUCCGGCUGGAACCUUCGCACUCUCGAACCAUAAAGCAAGAGAUGGUGGUCCCAUCCACAGAUUGGACUUCACAGAUUCUACAUUAUAAAACAACAAAACCUCAGAGAGGGAAAACUUCCACUGACCAUUUUUACUUGACUCACAAACCUUCUCCCUGUGGACGAGAGCCUGACAAAGAGUUUGUUGGUAACCGGGAUGACCUUCUGGAUGAACACCUGUUGAUCAUCUCUCUCUCCAAAUGGACCUGAAGGAACAAUCAUCAGAACUAAGAAAGACACCAGAGAGAAAAUCUCGAUAAUAAUCAAUAAUCUCUCACCGAUAUCAUUUCCUGAGCAGUAGCUGCCAUGGCUCUCAGUUUCCUCCAAGGAGAGUAUUUUGAAGGAGGCCAAAGGUGUGGACCCCGGCUGGGUGGAGAUCAUCCCUCGGAAGCGUGUCACUGUCCAAGUCCUGACGUGGUUGUUAUCAGCGCACACUGACACCAGCACAGAAUGAGACAGCAUGAUCUUGGUCACAGGGCUCCUGUGCACGGUGAAGGUCUGGAAGAGCUGAGGACCCGAGCCAACGGUCUCUGGGUGCUGCACGAUGACUCUCACUGCACCACUGCUUGUCCCCUUUUACUGUCGACCAUCAUCUACCUAUCUCAUUGCCGCUGCCUCCAUCUUGGAUGCUCCAUAGGAUGAUGCUGCUUUCUGAGGCAGCUGCCACCAUCUUGUCCUUGUCUCCGUGCGGCCCACCCACCACCUUGGCAUUGAGCGCGAUGCGUUCAAUUGUCCGGUCAAGGUAAGGAGAAGAGAACACUUGCUGCCAUCCAGUAGAUUCCUUUAUCCUGUCGUAAACGUUUCAUCAGCGUUCGACAUCUUUAAUCGUGUCUUUUGUUGUGUGUUGUCACAUCACAAGCACCUGUAGCAGAUGACAAAGUGUGCGUACGCCGCUACAAUCCAGUUGUGGUGCCCUGCUACAAUGAGCACCUUGCGAGGGUCAGGUCCUUAAGAGGAAGGCGCCAACGUGAAAGCUCACAUCACCAUUGCACUACUUCACUCUUUUUCAGGUUACCAACCGAGUUUGUGUGUGUCAUCUGAUCCAGGUGAGCCAGGGAUUGGAGGGGUUGAAGGGGGACCACCGUGAGGUAAUCCUUCCACUCCACUGGUGCCUGAGCGCUCGUCACAGGAGUGGGCGGAGCUUGACUUGCGACCAGGGAUGACUGAUGGAGUAAUACAGAGAAGUUAUGCUGUUGCUCAUAUUCUCACAAAGCCUGUUUCCUUACCUGGCGGUGGAAGGUAACCAUGGAAGAGAACGCUACCACAUGAUGAGCGGUCCAGUUCUUCGCACAGCAGAAGGCGCCGCACUACACACAAACAUUUAAUAUACAAUAAAAUAACAUUAGGCAUUCAUUUGAGAAUGAUUUCAAUUGUGUGGAUUUGAAUGCACUACUUGGCCCCCAUCAGCAUAGGCCAAUGUGGUGAUAUAUUUUACUGAUAUUUUUUGAUGCGGUACCGCCUGAGGGAUCGAAGGUCGCUGGAAUUCAAUGUUGGUUUUCGGCCUUGCCGCUUAAGUGCAGUGAUUUUUCCAGAUUCUCUGAACCUUUUUAUCAUAUUACAGAUUUGUGAUGGUGAAAUCUCUGAAUUCCUUGCAAUAACUUGUUGAAAAAUGUUGUUCUUAAACUGUUCGACAGUUUGCUGACGCAUUUGUUCCCAAAGUGGUGACCCUUGCCCCAUCCUUGUUUGUGAAUGAAUGAGCAUUUCAUGGAAGCGGCUUUUAUACCCAAUCAUGGCACCCACCUGACCCCAAUUAGCCUCCUCACCUGUGGGAUGUUCCAAAAAAGUGUUUGAUGUGCAUUCCUCAACUUUCUCAGUCUUUUUUGUCAUUUCUGCCAGCUUUUUUGAAACAUGUUGCAGGCAUCAAAUUCCAAAGUUUACCAGUUUGAACGUUAAGUGUCUUGUCUUUGCCGUCUAUUCAAUUGAAUGUAAGUUGAAAAGAAUUUGCAAAUCAUUGUGUUUUGUUUUUACUUACGAUUUACACAACGUGGCAACUUCACUGAUUUUGGGUUGUGUAAAAUAACACUGAUGCGUAGGAGAAAGGAAAACUGACAAAUAACACCUUGACACUCGUUUCACCCAAUGUGGUAGAUUUGAGUGCAUUCUGCUGCAGACUACAGUACACACCAGUCGCCCGUAGUAUCCUCCAAGUGCCAUUGCGAUGGCUGUUACCCGGCCACUAAAACAAGGCCAUGGCAUUGUAAUACUUUGUUGCAUCCUGGGUAAUUUAAAGUUGGUUAACUUGACAGUCAAAGCUACGCCCAUUAGCCAGCAUAUGUUAUGUAUGUUGUUAGCAUUGCAUUU